AACGAACGCUGGCGGCAUGCCUAACACAUGCAAGUCGAACGAGACCUUCGGGUCUAGUAGCGCACGGGUGCGUAACGCGUGGGAACCUGCCCUUUGGUUCGGAAUAACUCCCCGAAAGGGGUGCUAAUACCGGAUAAUGUCUUCGGUCCAAAGAUUUAUCGCCUUUGGAUGGGCCCGCGUUGGAUUAGCUAGUUGGUAGGGUAAAAGCCUACCAAGGCGACGAUCCAUAGCUGGUCUGAGAGGAUGAUCAGCCACACUGGGACUGAGACACGGCCCAGACUCCUACGGGAGGCAGCAGUGGGGAAUAUUGGACAAUGGGGGAAAGCCUGAUCCAGCAAUGCCGCGGGAGUGAUGAAGGCCUUAGGGUUGUAAAGCUCUUUUACCCGGGAUGAUAAUGACAGUACCGGGAGAAUAAGCUCCGGCUAACUCCGCG
rnacentral:rRNA from 1 species